AAAUUACUAGAGCAUGGACAAGCUCCUUGGUAGUAUCUGGUGCAAGAAAGGGGCGAAUGCGGGCUAUGUUUUUAAGAUGGAAUCUACAGGAUUUGGCAACAUGCUGGAUGUGAGGCUCAAAGGUGAGGCCAGAAUCAAGUAUGACGCCAAGACAGCGCGCUUGCAAGGAUGGACUGAUGUGGGUACCACAAACUUGAAGGGAGAGCGAAAGAGGAGGAUCAGUAUUAGGAGGAGGAAAGACAAGGAGCUCAGUUUUAGAGAGAUUGAGUUUCAGAAAGCGGGAGGACAUCCAGUCAGAGAUGGAAG